CGAGCCAAAUUAAGGUGAAACCGCGAAAGGCUCAUUAAAUCAGUUAUGGUUCCUUAGAUCGUACCCACAUUUACUUGGAUAACUGUGGUAAUUCUAGAGCUAAUACAUGCAAACAGAGCUCCGACCGGAGACGGAAGGAGUGCUUUUAUUAGAUCAAAACCAAUCGGCGUCGGUCCGUUCGCGGGCCGUUCGUCGCUAUCACUGGUGACUCUGAAUAACUUUAUGCUGAUCGCACGGUCUCGCACCGGCGACGCAUCUUUCAAAUGUCUGCCUUAUCAACUGUCGAUGGUAGGUUCUGCGCCUACCAUGGUCGUAACGGGUAACGGGGAAUCAGGGUUCGAUUCCGGAGAGGGAGCCUGAGAAACGGCUACCACAUCCAAGGAAGGCAGCAGGCGCGCAAAUUACCCACUCCCGGCACGGGGAGGUAGUGACGAAAAAUAACGGUACGGGACUCAUCCGAGGCCCCGUAAUCGGAAUGAGUACACUUUAAAUCCUUUAACGAGUAUCAAUUGGAGGGCAAGUCUGGUGUCAGCAGCCGCGGUAACUCCAGCUCCAAUAGCGUAUAUUAAAGUUGUUGCGUUUAAAAAGCUCGUAGUUGAAUCUGUGUCCCGCGCUGUCGGUUCACCGUCCGCGGUGUUUAACUGGCACGCUCGCGGGACGUCCUGCCGGUGGGUUCGUUUCGUCCGGCGGCCGGCGACGGUCGUCGGGUGGCGGCCCGACUCACGAUCCUACCGCGGUGCUCUUCACUGAGUGUCGAGGUGGGCCGGCACGUUUACUUUGAACAAAUUAGAGUGCUCAAAGCAGGCCGAAAUCACGCCUGAAUAUUGUGUGCAUGGAAUAAUGGAACAGGACCUCGGUUCUAUUUUGUUGGUUUUCGGAAGUCCGAGGUAAUGAUUAAUAGGGACAGAUGGGGGCAUUCGUAUUGCGACGUUAGAGGUGAAAUUCUUGGAUCGUCGCAAGACGGACAGAAGCGAAAGCAUUUGCCAAAAAUGUUUUCAUUAAUCAAGAACGAAAGUCAGAGGUUCGAAGGCGAUCAGAUACCGCCCUAGUUCUGACCAUAAACGAUGCCAGCUAGCGAUCCGCUGACGUUCCUCCGAUGACUCGGCGGGCAGCUUCCGGGAAACCAAAGCUUUUGGGUUCCGGGGGAAGUAUGGUUGCAAAGCUGAAACUUAAAGGAAUUGACGGAAGGGCACCACCAGUAGUGGAGCCUGCGGUUUAAUUUGACUCAACACGGGAAACCUCACCAGGCCCGGACACCGGAAGGAUUGACAGAUUGAGAGCUCUUUCUUGAUUCGGUGGGUGGUGGUGCAUGGCCGUUCUUAGUUGGUGGAGCGAUCUGUCUUGGUUAAUUCCGGUAACGAACGAGACUCUAACCUGCUAACUAGGCGUAUCUUCCGACAUCUAGAAGGCUCGCGUCGCCUGUCAGCCGCGGCGCGGUCGUGCGGUCGUCGGGCGUAGUUCGUCUAUCUCGCUCGCGGGUUAGGCGUUCUGCGUCCGCGCCGUCGUCCCGUCCGGUCGGGCGUUCGCGGUUUUUACUGUCGGCGUACAAUAUAAUCUUCUUAGAGGGACAGGCGGUUCCUAACCGCACGAGAUUGAGCAAUAACAGGUCUGUGAUGCCCUUAGAUGUUCUGGGCCGCACGCGCGCUACACUGAAGGAAUCAGCGUGUCCUCCCUGGCCGAGCGGUCCGGGUAACCCGCUGAACCUCCUUCGUGCUAGGGAUUGGGGCUUGCAAUUAUUCCCCAUGAACGAGGAAUUUCUAGUAAGCGCGAGUCAUAAGCUUGCGCUGAUUACGUCCCUGCCCUUUGUACACACCGCCCGUCGCUACUACCGAUUGAAUGAUUUAGUGAGGUCUUCGGACCGGUACGCGGCGGCGUUCCGACGUCGCCGAUGUC
rnacentral:rRNA from 1 species